CGGAUAGAGCCGGCGAAGUCGCUCGUAUUCAGCCAAAGGCUCGGGGCUUCCCUGGCGUUGAGUUGCUAACCACUCUCAGCGUUGGUGUGUUGUCCUUGGGUUGAGGUGCAUUUACGGGCGUUUGCGCUGAGACUUGCGAGGCAGCUGCUGGACCCGUGUUCUAGAGGCUUCCCUCUGGGUUGAACCUGGUCGCGGCUGACGGUUGUUUGCCUUGCUCGUACGGGGCCUGGCCUACGGACCGGGGUGGUGGUGUCGGUGUUGCGCGGUGGUAUCGCAUGCGAUGCCUAGCGUAGUGCUUGCGCUGCUGCUUCGUGUUCCCAGGCCCACUCUCGGUGUAGAAGCCGGUCAUCUCUCCGACCCGUCUUGAAACACGGACCAAGGAGUUUAGCGUAUGCGCGAGUCAUUGGGUGCUGAAAACCCAUAGGCGCAAUGAAAGUAAAGACCCAGUCGCUGGGUUGACAUGUGAGUGUGGGUGGCUUCGGCCCUUGCACGCAGCAUGGUCCCAUUGUGAUCGCUUGCGAUGCAGUGGAGACAGAGCGUAUGCGCUGAG
rnacentral:rRNA from 1 species